CUUGGGAUAGGAGCUCUUCACAUUUGGUGGCCUUGCUUUGAUUUAUAUGGAAAUGUAUCUUUUUGAAGCUAUGAAGUUCUUCCUCUUCAGAAUCAUUAGCUGAACCCCACAGCCAGUUCUGUAAAACCCAGAGUAAAAUCAAUCCCAUUUUAGACAACUGGGCUUCAAUGUCUUGACCAAGGAUGAUCCCGCUUCUUGUCCAUCAAGCCCAAGCUCUUCAGGAUCUUCUUCAUCUGCAUUUCCUUGCCAGCCCAAAUACAGACUUAGUGCACAUUUGCCAGAAGGAAGGAAGGAGAAAAGGAUGAAGAGACUACCAAGAUGGUGCCUCUAGUCUUCACUGAAGGCUUCUGGAAGGAUGCCAGGAUAUUUGGGGCAGAACAACAGGAAAACUAAAAGGUAGUUGCAGUCACAGGACAUUGUGUUACACACCCCACACUCAAGUUUCAAACUUGGGGAGAUGGGCAAUGCAAGAGGCUUUCUCUGAGUGUUCAACAAACUGACUUGCUUCAUGGGAUUGAUCAAGAGAGAAACACAGGACAAAUAAUCCAUACACUGGUGAAGUUAUUUAUAGUAGUCAGUGGGAAUCAAGUACAAGUAUGUAGAAGAGACUGAGAUUUUUC